GCCUAAUCUUGCAAGUCGAGCGGACAGAUGGGAGCUUGCUCCCUGAUGUUAGCGGCGGACGGGUGAGUAACACGUGGGUAACCUGCCUGUAAGACUGGGAUAACUCCGGGAAACCGGGGCUAAUACCGGAUGGUUGUUUGAACCGCAUGGUUCAGACAUAAAAGGUGGCUUCGGCUACCACUUACAGAUGGACCCGCGGCGCAUUAGCUAGUUGGUGAGGUAACGGCUCACCAAGGCAACGAUGCGUAGCCGACCUGAGAGGGUGAUCGGCCAUUUUGGGACUGAGACACGGCCCAGACUCCUACGGGAGGCAGCAGUAGGGAAUCUUCCGCAAUGGACGAAAGUCUGACGGAGCAACGCCGCGUGAGUGAUGAAGGUUUUCGGAUCGUAAAGCUCUGUUGUUAGGGAAGAACAAGUGCCGUUCAAAUAGGGCGGCACCUUGACGGUACCUAACCAGAAAGCCACGGCUAACUACGUGCCAGCAGCCGCGGUAAUACGUAGGUGGCAAGCGUUGUCCGAAUUAUUGGGCGUAAGGGCUCGCAGGCGGUUUUUAAGUCUGU
rnacentral:rRNA from 1 species